rnacentral:snRNA from 1 species
GGAUGUGGGGGCGAUCUGGCCGCAACAUCUGUCACCCCAUUGAUAGCCAGGGUGAUUCUGCUGAUCUGGCUGGCUAGCAGUGUCCCCUUCCCCCCUCACUGCUCCAUGUGCGUCCUUCCCACACUGUGCACUCUGUCCAAGAGGAUGAGCUUCCCCAAACAGAGAUGGGCCCGUCUUCAGUCAAAGAUAUACGGAUAGCUGCGUUCCCCUGCUACAACAUCCAAACAAGCUCUCAAGAGACAACCCCUUCUAUGUAUGGCUAAUUAUUUUAUGACAAUGAAGAAAGAGCAUACAGCAGAGAAAAAUAUGUAAAUAAAUGAUAU